rnacentral:rRNA from 1 species
GAUGAACGCUGGCGGCGUGCCUAAUACAUGCAAGUCGAGCGAACAGACGAGGAGCUUGCUCCUCUGACGUUAGCGGCGGACGGGUGAGUAACACGUGGAUAACCUACCUAUAAGACUGGGAUAACUUCGGGAAACCGGAGCUAAUACCGGAUAAUAUAUUGAACCGCAUGGUUCAAUAGUGAAAGACGGUUUUGCUGUCACUUAUAGAUGGAUCCGCGCCGCAUUGGCUAGUUGGUAAGGUAACGGCUUACCAAGGCAACGAUGCGUAGCCGACCUGAGAGGGGGAUCGGCCACACUGGAACUGAGACACGGUCCAGACUCCUACGGGAGGCAGCAGUAGGGAAUCUUCCGCAAUGGGCGAAAGCUUGACGGAGCAACGCCGCGUGAGUGAUGAAGGUCUUCGGAUCGUAAAACUCUGUUAUUAGGGAAGAACAAAUGUGUAAGUAACUAUGCACGUCUUGACGGUACCUAAUCAGAAAGCCACGGCUAACUACGUG